rnacentral:rRNA from 1 species
UACGGGAGGCAGCAGUGAGGAAUAUUGGWCAAUGGGCGCAAGCCUGAUCCAGCCAUGCCGCGUGCAGGAUGACGGUCCUAUGGAUUGUAAACUGCUUUUGUACAGGAAGAAACACCUCUACGUGUAGAGACUUGACGGUACUGUAAGAAUAAGGAUCGGCUAACUCCGUGCCAGCAGCCGCGGUAAUAA